rnacentral:rRNA from 1 species
UACGUAGGUGGCAAGCGUUGUCCGGAAUCAUUGGGCGUAAAGAGCGUGUAGGCGGCCCGAUAAGUCCGCUGUGAAAGUCCAGGGCUCAACCCUGGGAUGCCGGUGGAUACUGUCGGGCUCGAGUCCGGAAGAGGAGUGUGGAAUUCCUGGUGUAGCGGUGAAAUGCGCAGAUAUCAGGAGGAACACCAAUGGCGAAGGCAGCACUCUGGGACGUGACUGACGCUGAGACGCGAAAGCGUGGGGAGCAAACAGG